GCACUGUUGAAGAGUUCCAUACUAGGACGAAACGGCCGUCUAGUAC
rnacentral:hammerhead_ribozyme from 1 species